GUACACUCCUACGGGAGGCAGCAGUGGGGAAUUUUGGACAAUGGGCGAAAGCCUGAUCCAGCAAUGCCGCGUGAGUGAAGAAGGCCUUCGGGUUGUAAAGCUCUUUUGUCAGGGAAGAAACGGUGAGAGCUAAUAUCUCUUGCUAAUGACGGUACCUGAAGAAUAAGCACCGGCUAACUACGUGCCAGCAGCCGCGGUAAUACGUAGGGUGCAAGCGUUAAUCGGAAUUACUGGGCGUAAAGCGUGCGCAGGCGGUUUUGUAAGUCUGAUGUGAAAUCCCCGGGCUCAACCUGGGAAUUGCAUUGGAGACUGCAAGGCUAGAAUCUGGCAGAGGGGGGUAGAAUUCCACGUGUAGCAGUGAAAUGCGUAGAUAUGUGGAGGAACACCGAUGGCGAAGGCAGCCCCCUGGGUCAAGAUUGACGCUCAUGCACGAAAGCGUGGGGAGCAAACAGGAUUAGAAACCCGGUAGUCCCA
rnacentral:rRNA from 1 species